CUUCACCAUACAACAACUGGGGCUGCUUCCAUGAUGUGUUGCUGAGGCAGAAACCAUCACCCUAAGCAGAAGUCGGAGGCACAGAGGAGACCAGAAAGCUUUGUGAGUUGAAUUUCCUCACGUCCCCAUCCUCAUGGAGCUGCAAUGCUGUCAGUCUGAGGAGGCUGUUUUACUGGAAUAGCUGAAGAAAAUUUAAUGUACCCCAAAUGCCUCCCUGGGGUGAGCCAGCUGACAGCUCACUAUGUUUGCAUCCUGCACAUUGUUAUGAAGGCUGCCUCUGUGGGACGGCUCCUGCACUGUGGGAGGGAUGGCUCUCUACCCUGAGAUCUCCUUUGUAACCAGCUCUUGUUGUCUUAUUCAGCAGAACAGCGGUGUUUUGUUCCCAGGGGGAAGGCAGGUGCCCACAGAGUUUGGGCAUGGGUUUGCCACAGUAUGAUUUGUUCAGCAAAGCUCCUUAUACCCUCUUUAAUCUCCAUUUUAUAUCUCCCCUGCUGCACUUUGCAAUCUCUUAUGUUACUAUAAUUUGGGCUGGAUUUCCAUAUUUUAGAAAAUGCCUCACUAAAUGUCUAUAUCUUUCCCUUUAUCCAUGGUGUUACUCCUCAGCAUUACUUCCCACCUGUGGAGAGAAUGUAUAUGCAUCAUAUGGAAGUACCUUAUGGCUGUAGUAAAUGACCUCAUCAUCUGGCUGUUCA